rnacentral:rRNA from 1 species
AUUGAACGCUGGCGGCAGGCCUAACACAUGCCAGUCGAGCGAGCGGCGGACGGGUGAGUAAUGUCUGGGAAACUGCCUGAUGGAGGGGGAUAACUACUGGAAACGGUAGAUAAUACCGCAUACCAUAAGAUGUGCCCAGAUGUGAUGAGCUAGCCGGUGGGGUAACGGCGCACCUAGGCGACGAUCCCUCGCUGGUCUGAGAGGAUGUCCAGCCACCUUGUAACUGAGUUCCGGUCCAGACUCUGACGGCUGGCAGCAGUGGGGAAUAUUGCACGUUGGGCGCAAGCCUGAGGCAGCCAUGCCAGUUUGGUGAAGAAGGCCUUCGGGUUGUAAAGCACUUUCAGCGUGGAGGCGUUACCCGCAGAAGAAGCACCGGCUAACUCCGUCCCAGCAGCCACGGUAAUAC